UGUUAUUCUUAAUAGGAGUUCAGUGACACCAUUUUAAUGAUUUUUCUAUAUUAUUUGGUGCAAGUCUAUAUCUUCAAUCAAUAUAUUCAAAGAGGAAUUACCAUUUACAGUGAAUAUAAGCAGGAAUACAAUGUAGACUAUAUAGGAUGACUAUUAUUAAAUAAAAACUGCAAUUUUUUAGAGUAAUAAUUAUGUUUUGUGUAUUACCAACAGCAAUCUUUAGUAAAUUGGUUGCAAAUCAACCUGAUGAGACUGUUGACUGAUACUUUUAUGAUUAGAUCUAUAUAUGAUGUAAGUGAAGUUGAAUCUAUUGUAAUGCCUUGUCAUGUCAGGAGCCACUAGAUUUUAAUUGUUAUUAAGCCUCAUAAA